CGCCCAUUAAUUUUGUUCCUCUGCUUCACUUUUAACAAAACAUAGAUCUCAAUUUCUAUCUCUUUCACUCUCUUGUACAACUAUCUCUUUGCUUCCUCGAUUUGGAUUUUCGAUUUGGAGCUUGUUCAGUGAAUUAUGGCUUCGAUUUGUGGCUAUAUUAUUAUGUAAGUUAGAGAUUUGGAUUUGGGGCUUGUUGAUACUCACUAAUUAUGAUAGGAGAAUCCUCUUAUAGGGAUAUAUGCCUAUGCAAAGAAUCUUAUACUUGGUUUCAAGUCCGUGACCCUGCAUGACAAAGGCAAUGGUGAAUUGUUGGAUUUGUCUAGCAACUUUAUAUUCACACAGAAUGAUGUUGGUAAGAGCAGGGCACUUGUUUAUGUUCAACAGCAAGCUGCAAGAGCUUAACAAUGCUGUCGUUGUUACCAGUUUGACCAUUAAAUUUACUAAGGAGCAACUCUCUGGCUUUGAGCCUUCAUGGGCUGAUACCAGCUGAGAAUAUGGAACAAGGAAGAAAGAUGUUUCUGCUCCUAAUGGUCACAUUAAUUCAACCAAGCAAUCACUGAAGACAUAGAGAUACUGUAAAUAUUUCAAGAAUUUGAUGGUAGCUUGACAUGAUCAAAUUAAUUUUUCAUGUAGUUGUUGUAUUUGAUAUUUUUGUAAAUGCAUGAGGACAAGUUGUAUAUCAAAAA